rnacentral:rRNA from 1 species
GACGAACGCUGGCGGCGUGCUUAACACAUGCAAGUCGAACGGAAAGGCCCUGCUUUUGUGGGGUGCUCGAGUGGCGAACGGGUGAGUAACACGUGAGUAACCUGCCCUUGACUUUGGGAUAACUUCAGGAAACUGGGGCUAAUACCGGAUAGGACCUCCUGCUGCAUGGUGGGGGUUGGAAAGUUUCGGCGGUUGGGGAUGGACUCGCGGCUUAUCAGCUUGUUGGUGGGGUAGUGGCUUACCAAGGCUUUGACGGGUAGCCGGCCUGAGAGGGUGACCGGCCACAUUGUGACUGAGAGACGGCCCAGACUCCUACGGGAGGCAGCAGUGGGGAAUAUUGCGCAAUAGGCGGAAGCCUGAUGCAGCGACGCCGCGUGCGGGAUAACGGCCUUCGGGUUGUAAACCGCUUUCGCCUGUGACGAAGCGUGAGUGACGGUAAUGGAUAAAGAAGCACCGGCUAACUACGUG